rnacentral:lncRNA from 1 species
CCUCUCUUCUGGACUUGGUUUUCACAGGAACUUGGAAGGUUGCUGCGGAAACUCCAUUUUUAUCUUCCCAAGUCAGAUAAUUGUUUUCUGUCAGCCUGCUGAUGUGUAGAGUAGUUAGGAUUAGUGAAAGCUCUAGCGGGAUGUGUUUGAAAAGAAGAAUGUGUAAGUGUUGACAGGGUUCUUUCUUUCUUGUGUGUUACAUACUUUGGUGACUAAGUAGCAAAGCCUUUCUGUCUUCCAAGUUAACCGGCUAGUCAUAUUUUCUAAGCUUUUCCAUAAUUUCCUUCUAAUUUUUCUAAGGACUGUGGAGGUGAUUAAUAAAAAAACAAAUUCAAUGUUGUAGAUUGAAAAACCAAGGCAUAAAAUAAUUCUAUAACUUGCUUAACCAUAAUGAAAGCUAACGUGUAUUGAGACUUAACCUUCUGACUGCUUUAUGUCAAUCUUCUCUCAUAUGAUCUUCAAAGUGACACUGGGAGGUUGGUGUGAUUCCACUCUCACUUUGAUGACAAGGAAACUGAGGCACAGGGAGGUUAAGAAACUUGCCCGGGAUCAUAAAGCUGAUGGAGUUUCACUCUUGUGACCCAGGCUGGAGUGCAAGGGCGCGAUCUCGGCUCACCGCAACUUUUGCCUCCUGGGUUCAGGCAAUUCUCCUGCCUCAGCCUCCUGAGUAGCUGAGAUUACAGGCACGCGCAACCAUGCCCAGCUAAUUUUUUGUAUUUUUUUUUAGUAGAGACAGGGUUUCACCAUGUUGACCAGGAUGGACUCGCUCUCUUGACCUCGUGAUCCACCCGCCUCGGCCUCCCAAAGUGCUGGGAUUGCAGGCUUGAGCCACCGUGCCCGGCCCACAUUGUUGUUAUUUUCUUUGAAGAAACCUAUCUCCUUAAGUACAUGUGCACCUUGGGAUCUCAAGGAGCUCAGCCUGCUUAGGGAUUUCAGGAGCUCCAACAGAGAGUGCUUGGAGUA